rnacentral:rRNA from 1 species
GAUGAACGCUGGCGGCGUGCCUAAUACAUGCAAGCCGAGCGAACAGACGAGGAGCUUGCUCCUUUGACGUUAGCGGCGGACGGGUGAGUAACACGUAGGUAACCUACCCAUAAGACUGGGAUAACUUCGGGAAACCGGAGCUAAUACCGGAUAAUAUUUCGAACCGCAUGGUUCGAUAGUGAAAGAUGGCUUUGCUAUCACUUAUAGAUGGACCUGCGCCGUAUUAGCUAGUUGGUAAGGUAACGGCUUACCACGGCAACGAUACGUAGCCGACCUGAGAGGGUGAUCGCCCACACUGGAGCUGAGACACGGUCCAGACUCCUAAGGUAGGCAGCAGUAGGGAAUCUUCCGCAAUGGGCGGAAGCCUGACGGAGCAACGCCGCGUGAGUGAUGAAAGUCUUCGGAUCGUAAAACUGUGUUAUUAGUGAAGAACAAACGUGUAAGUAACUGUGCACGUCUUGACGGUACCUAAUCAGAAAGCCACGGCUAACUACGUG